ensembl:lncRNA
GCCUGGAUGCCAGUCUGUUUCUGCUAAUAGUUAGCAUAUUCCUAGCCUGUAUGCCACUCUGUUUCUGCUAAUAGUUAGCAUAUCCCUAGCCUGGAUGCCAGUCUGUUUCUACUAAUAGUUAACAUAUCCCUAGCCUGGAUGCCAGUCUGUUUCUGCUAAUAGUUAGCAUAUCCCUAGCCUAGAUGCUAGUCUGUUUCUGCUAAUAGUUAACAUAUCCCUAGCCUGGAUGCUAGUGUUUCUGAUUUAGCCCACUCCUCUGUCAUUGUCAUGUUUGAAUAUAGGGCUAUAGAGCUGGCUUAAGCAGAACCAGAUUUGCAUUACUAUUGCCCUCUUUUCCCUCCCCUCUUCUAUGUAUUAGUGUGGCGGUAAUGUCUGACUACAUAAAGCAGACAAAGUGAACAAUCUGGAGUGCUCAGUUUAUGAUAUUGGGUGCCGUAGCCCAGAAGUAGCCAAAAAUCCAUGACGUAGACUGGCUUAGUACCCAUAAUCCUGUAAUAUCUCUCUCACUCUCAUUUUGCACCUUGAUGUGUUUGAUACCAUUCCACUGAUUCCGCUCCUGCCGUUACCAAGAGACAGUCCUACCCAAUUAAGGUGGCACCAACCUCCUGUGCUGGGGUCACUUCUAAGGGCCUGGAUUAGUGAUAGAGGCCGGAUCCAGUUGUGAUUAAAUCUUUAGUGUUGGGGACCGAGGACGUGGAUGUGAUCUCCAUGUAGACCAUCUCUUUCAGUUCCACCUGGAACCACAGAGAAGAUGAUGUUGUCCUAUGACACUGAUCUAAGGUCAGUUUGUUAGUUUUACUCCCUUCCACCAACCCAAAGGGUCAAGAUUUGGGUAAGGUAAGCUGAUUCUAGAACUGUGACAUAACCAAUUAGCCUGUACAUUGGCUAGAUCCUCUUUAGGAUAAAUUGACAUUAUUCAUUAGUUAACUCAAUAUAGCUCUAUAUAUAAUGUUGGGAAAGUACAUCAUUUUAAAUUUGAGUCAUUUCACAGAUGUUCUUAUCCAGAGUGACUUACAGGAGCAAUUAUGGUUAGGUGUGUCACGUUCUGACCUUUAUUUCCUUUGUUUUGUAUUUACUUAGUAUGGUCAGGGUGUGAGUUGGGUGGGCAGUCUAUGUUUGAUUUUCUAUGA